UCACUUCUCCUGACAACCUGCA
rnacentral:siRNA from 1 species